UUGCAAUGCAUUCUGGGUACAUUAAUGCUAACUCCUAGCCAACCCUUUCAAUUUGAACCGGAGUGCGUUGAAAUAUGAGGCAAUGCAGAAACGACCAGAGGAAAUGAAGAUGGAAAUCGGAGGAAAAGGAAAAAGUCGGAAAGGUUUCGGUUGCUUACCUGUAAGAGCUUGACUUUCUAACUCUGUUUACGGUUGUAGCUGCAGUGAGUGACAGCAUGAACAUUUACUGCACUGUUGGCGUCAGCUUUGAGACUUUCCGUACACACGCGUUGGGACGGACAAACCUGCAACCCAGAGACGAAGACAAUUAAAAUGUUCGCCUGUUUGGAUUAUGAUGCUUUCAGGAUAUUUUGUAGAAAAUUAUCACCUAAAUAAUAAAUAAAUUUGUUGCCACCAUGUCAU